UGUUAAAAAUUUCGUCCAUUUCUAUUGUUAAAAGUUGGCAUGGCUGAUAGAAUAAUCAAAUAGUGACACAUGAUAUGUCAUGUGUACUUCAUAUUGAUGUACAUGAAUUAAAUUUUAAAAGUAGAAAUGAAUGGAACUUUUAACA
rfam:Gossypium raimondii Chr07_contig_1432, whole genome shotgun sequence.